ACGGGGAGCAGCAGGCGCGAAAACUUUGCAAUGUGCGAAAGCACGACAAGGUUAAUCCGAGUGAUUUAUGCUAAAGAAAUCUUUUGCUAGUCCUAGAAACACUAGUGAAUAAGGGGUGGGCAAGUUCUGGUGUCAGCCGCCGCGGUAAAACCAGCACCUCAAGUGGUCAGGAUGAUUAUUGGGCCUAAAGCAUCCGUAGCUCGUUUUGUAAGUUUUCGGUUAAAUCCAUACGCUUAACGUAUGGGCUGCCGGGAAUACUGCAUAACUAGGAAGUGGGAGAGGUAGACGGUACUCGGUAGGAAGGGGUAAAAUCCUUUGAUCUAUUGAUGACCACCUGUGGCGAAGGCGGUCUACCAGAACACGUUCGACGGUGAGGGAUGAAAGCUGGGGGAGCAAACCGGAUUAGAUACCCGGGUAGUCCCAGCUGUAAACUAUGCAAACUCAGUGAUGCAUUGGCUUGUGGCCAAUGCAGUGCUGCAGGGAAGCCGUUAAGUUUGCCGCCUGGGAAGUACGUACGCAAGUAUGAAACUUAAAGGAAUUGGCGGGGGAGCAC
rnacentral:rRNA from 1 species